GGGGACGAUCUGGAUUCGACGCCGGUGACGAAACCAAAGGUGCAUGUCGAGAGGGUAGUGACUCUCGUAAAACAAUCGCUGUAACUUUAUAGUUGCCAAUGACGAGAACUACGCUCUAGCAGCAUAAACCCUGCUAGCAGUUGCCACCGGAUGCUUGUAAACGGGAAGCGACUGUCAUACAGAACAAGCUAGUUCGGAGGUAUGCUCAGGGCCACCGGGCAAAACUUUAACUGCGCUCGUCUCUUAUCGCCCUGCCCGCUGGGCCGCGAGAGAUUAAAUUAAUAGGCGGAUCUAAGCAUGUAGAGCCGAUGGCAGAGUGCUGACGGA
rnacentral:tmRNA from 1 species